CAGCCGCCGCGGGAAUACAGAGGGUGCGAGCGUUAAUCGGAUUUACUGGGCGUAAAGCGUGCGUAGGCGGCUUCUUAAGUCGGAUGUGAAAUCCCUGAGCUUAACUUAGGAAUUGCAUUCGAUACUGGGAAGCUAGAGUAUGGGAGAGGAUGGUAGAAUUCCAGGUGUAGCGGUGAAAUGCGUAGAGAUCUGGAGGAAUACCGAUGGCGAAGGCAGCCAUCUGGCCUAAUACUGACGCUGAGGUACGAAAGCAUGGGGAGCAAACAGGAUUAGAUACCCCCGUAGUCCCUGUCUCUUAUAA
rnacentral:rRNA from 1 species